rnacentral:rRNA from 1 species
CACGUAGGGGGCAAGCGUUGUCCGGAUUUAUUGGGCGUAAAGAGCUCGUAGGCGGUUCGGUAAGUCGGGUGUGAAACCUCCAGGCUCAACCUGGAGACGCCACCCGAUACUGCUGUGACUAGAGUCCGGUAGGGGAGCGUGGAAUUCCUGGUGUAGCGGUGAAAUGCGCAGAUAUCAGGAGGAACACCAGCGGCGAAGGCGGCGCUCUGGGCCGGAACUGACGCUGAGGCGCGAAAGCUAGGGUAGCAAACGGG